CUCGGUCUCCUGACCUCGUGAUCCGCCCGCCUCGGCCUCCUAAAGUGCUGGGAUUACAGGCUUGAGCCACCGCAGCCGGCGCUCACCAAGCUUUUGACAGAAGAGUUGACUAUCAGGAAAAACUGAGAGAGACCUUGAAAUAAGCACAAGGAAAAACACCCUCUGCUCGACCUAAGGAGCCUUUGCUCUUCACUGUUCACAGCUCGAAACUGGGGGAAGCUGAACGAGCCUGCCCAGUGGGAUGUGAUGAUUACUGUGGAGUUGGACCUUUGGCCAGUUUUGAAUCUAUUUGCAAUUUGUCUCAGCAUUCGUUUGCCUGCAACUCAUCCUUGACCCUAAGGUAGCUCCUUGCUGGGUCGGUGAAUCCACACGGCCAACACCUUACCCCACCACUGUGUUUUGAGAGCUUCCUUCAUGGGCUGAAGAGCAGGAUGUGCCAGGAUGUGACACGCAGCUUGUUUUCCUAAAUGACACAGAUGGACCCCACCGGUGCAUGGUUCCCAUCGAUGGAAACCACCAGAAAGGCACCCAGAGAGGGAGAACGGCAAGCGGGGUGAGAGCGUUCACCUGGUCUGUGUGUGUGUCCCCGUCCGUCACGUCUGUCCUGGGCACAAACUCCUGUAGGUUUUUAAACAUAGGACUCAAGUAAGGACUGGAAAGAUGUUUAUCAAAUAACACCAAUCUCCUGAUGA